rnacentral:tRNA from 1 species
AUCUUAAAAGCUUUAUAGCAUUUCAUUUACACUGAAAAUAAAUCUUAAAAUU